rnacentral:ncRNA from 1 species
GGUCAAGCGACUAAGUGCAUCUGGUGGAUGCCUUGGCGAUCACAGGCGAUGAAGGACGUGCAAGCCUGCGAAAAGCAGCGGGGAGCUGGCAAUGGAGCUUUGAUCCGCUGAUGUCCGAAUGGGGAAACCCCUCCGCAAGGAGAUCCCUGGCUGAACACAUAGGCCAGUGGAGGCGAACCGGGAGAACUGAAACAUCUAAGUACCCCGAGGAAAAGAAAUCAACCGAGAUUCCGUAAGUAGUGGCGAGCGAACGCGGAAGAGCCUGUAUGUGUUAUGGAUUGUGUUAGUGGAACGCUCUGGAAAGUGCGGCCAUAGUGGGUGAUAGCCCCGUACACGAAAACGCAUUCCAAGAACUGAGCAUACGAGAAGUAGGGCGGGACACGCGAAAUCCUGUCUGAAGAUGGGGGGACCAUCCUCCAAGGCUAAAUACUCGUGAUCGACCGAUAGUGAACCAGUACCGUGAGGGAAAGGCGAAAAGAACCCCGGGAGGGGAGUGAAAUAGAACCUGAAACCGGAUGCAUACAAACAGUGGGAGCCUGGAAACGGGUGACUGCGUACCUUUUGUAUAAUGGGUCAGCGACUUACAUUCAGUGGCAAGCUUAACCGAAUAGGGGAGGCGUAGGGAAACCGAGUCCGAAUAGGGCGUCUCAGUCGCUGGGUGUAGACCCGAAACCGAGUGAUCUAUCCAUGGCCAGGAUGAAGGUGCGGUAACACGCACUGGAGGUCCGAACCCACUAGUGUUGCAAAACUAGGGGAUGAGCUGUGGAUAGGGGUGAAAGGCUAAACAAACUCGGAGAUAGCUGGUUCUCCCCGAAAACUAUUUAGGUAGUGCCUCAUGUAUCACUUCCGGGGGUAAAGCACUGUUAUGGCUAGGGGGUCAUUGCGAUUUACCAAACCAUGGCAAACUCUGAAUACCGGAAAGUGCGAGCAUGGGAGACAGACGGUGGGUGCUAACGUCCAUCGUCAAGAGGGAAACAACCCAGACCGCCAGCUAAGGUCCCAAAUGAUCAGUUAAGUGGUAAACGAGGUGGGAAGGCCUAGACAGCCAGGAUGUUGGCUUAGAAGCAGCCAUCAUUUAAAGAAAGCGUAAUAGCUCACUGGUCGAGUCGUCCUGCGCGGAAGAUGUAACGGGGCUCAAACUGAUAACCGAAGCUGCGGAUGCAUAUUUAUAUGCGUGGUAGGGGAGCGUUCUGUAGGUCUGUGAAGGUGGUGGUGUAAACCCUGCUGGAGAUAUCAGAAGUGCGAAUGCUGACAUGAGUAGCGAUAAAGCGGGUGAAAAGCCCGCUCGCCGAAAGCCCAAGGUUUCCUACGCAACGUUCAUCGGCGUAGGGUGAGUCGGCCCCUAAGGCGAGGCUGAAAAGCGUAGUCGAUGGGAAACGGGUUAAUAUUCCCGUACUUUUAUGCAGUGCGAUGUGGGGACGGAGAAGGUUAGGUUAGCGGCCUGUUGGAAUAGGUCGUUUAAGCCGGUAGGCUGGUGCGGUAGGCAAAUCCGCUGCACCUUAAGGCCGAGAGGUGAUGACGAGGGUCUACGGACCUGAAGUAACUGAUACCACGCUUCCAGGAAAAGCCACUAAGCUUCAGCUGCAUAAGAACCGUACCGCAAACCGACACAGGUGGGCAGGAUGAGAA